UACGGAGGAUCCGAGCGUUAUCCGGAUUUAUUGGGUUUAAAGGGUGCGCAGGCGGGAGAUUAAGUCGGCGGUGAAAGUUUGCAGCUUAACUGUAAAAUUGCCGUUGAUACUGAUAUUCUUGAGUGUAUAUGAAGUAGGCGGAAUUUGUAGUGUAGCGGUGAAAUGCAUAGAUAUUACAAGGAACUCCGAUUGCGAAGGCAGCUUACUAAAUUACAACUGACGCUUAGGCACGAAGGCGUGGGUAUCAAACAGGAUUAGAUACCCUGGUAGU
rnacentral:rRNA from 1 species